CACGUAGGGACCAAGCGUUGUCCGGAUUCAUUGGGCGUAAAGAGCUCGUAGGCGGUUCGGUAAGUCGGGUGUGAAACCUCCAGGCUCAACCUGGAGACGCCACCGAUACUGCUGUGACUAGAGUCCAGUAGGGGAGCGUGGAAUUCCUGGUGUAGCGGUGAAAUGCGCAGAUAUCGGGAGGAACACCAAUGGGCGAAGGCAGCUUGCUGGGACGGUACUGACGCUCAGUGCACGAAAGCGUGGGGAGCAAACAGG
rnacentral:rRNA from 1 species